CUAGGCUAGGUUGGUGUAAUGUCACUAACAACGAAAAUAGGCUAAAUAAGGCUCAAAGGGGUUAAACCUACAAAACAAAUGCAUGGGAUGAAGGCUUUUUGGCUCUAGUGGUAACUACUAAACAACUUCAUCUUGUUAUAUGUUAUGCACUCAAUUUUAAGCUUUGAAUGAAACGGGCAUGAGUUCUAGUAUAUGGAACUAAAGUGAUAAAACGCAUUCUAAGUAGCAACCAAGCAAAGAAUGAUGAGAUCAUGCAACGACUUUAGAAAACAACAAAUCAUAGAUUAUUAACUCUCCAAAUAAACGUUUAGGCUCAAGUCUCUCAGGGUUGUAGCGUUAGUUUGAGUUCCUUCCUUCAAGUAUGUUACAAAAACUGAUUUUUUUUUUUCUUUUGUGAUUACAUGUGAAUUUGUAAACUAUAACUAUAACCAAGCAUAAACCAAAGAGUAUAUCAAACUUCCAUCCAUGUUUGUAACUUUCUUUAACAGUCAUGCAAUUAAAAACCAAAUCCUCAUCAUUGUGUUGGAGGGUACCCUAAGACACAAACACAUAAACACACAAAAACAAUUGUAAAACGACUCUUUUUUGGAUUUUUUUUAAAAACUUUUUCGAUUUUUUUUUUGAAUUUUCGUAUUUCCUUUUAAAGCCACAUAAAGACACAUCAAACCAUACUAAAAACACUCAAAAACAAUGAAAAACAACCUUUGAAAUGUUAGGUGGUAAAAUCCUACAAAUUUUGCAACAAAAACACUUUGUUUACCCCCCCCCCCACACUUAAACCAAACAUUGUCCUCAAUGUUUCAAACAUAGACUCACACAAAAACAAGCAAAUAAC
rnacentral:lncRNA from 1 species